rnacentral:rRNA from 1 species
CGGUGUUUAACUGGCGUGAUGUGGGACGUCCUACCGGUGGGCUUAGCCUCGCGAGGGGCGGCCCAACUAAUAUCCCGUCGCGGUGCUCUUUACUGAGUGUCGAGUCGGGCCGGUACGUUUACUUUGAACAAAUUAGAGUGCUUAAAGCAGGCUAUCCUCGCCUGAAUACUGCGUGCAUGGAAUAAUGGAAUAGGACCUCGGUUCUAUUUUGUUGGUUUUCGGAACCCCGAGGUAAUGAUUAAUAGGGACAGAUGGGGGCAUUCGUAUUGCGACGUUAGAGGUGAAAUUCUUGGAUCGUCGCAAGACGGACAGAAGCGAAAGCAUUUGCCAAAAAUGUUUUCAUUAAUCAAGAACGAAAGUUAGAGGUUCGAAGGCGAUCAGAUACCGCCCUAGUUCUAACCAUAAACGAUGCCAGCUAGGCGAUCCGCCGAAGUUCCUCCGAUGACUCGGCGGGCAGCUUCCGGGAAACCAAAGCUUUUGGGUUCCGGGGGAAGUAUGGUUGCAAAGCUGAAACUUAAAGGAAUUGACGGAAGGGCACCACCAGGAGUGGAGCCUGCGGCUUAAUUUGACUCAACACGGGAAACCUCACCAGGCCCAGACACCGGAAGGAUUGACAGAUUGAUAGCUCUUUCUUGAUUCGGUGGGUGGUGGUGCAUGGCCGUUCUUAGUUGGUGGAGCGAUUUGUCUGGUUAAUUCCGAUAACGAACGAGACUCUAGCCUGCUAAAUAGGCGUACCUUAUGGUAUCGCGAAGGCCCCCGGCUUCGGCCGGUGGGUUUUUACUACCAACGUACAAACAAAUCUUCUUAGAGGGACAGGCGG